UACGUAGGGGGCAAGCGUUGUUCGGAAUUACUGGGCGUAAAGGGCGCGUAGGCGGCACGGCAAGUCGGGAGUGAAAGCCCGGGGCUCAACCCCGGAACGUCUUUCGAAACUGCCGAGCUAGAGUGCGGAAGGGGCAACUGGAAUUCCCAGUGUAGCGGUGAAAUGCGUAGAUAUUGGGAAGAACACCUGAGGCGAAGGCGGGUUGCUGGGCCGACACGUGACGCUGAGGCGCGAAAGCCAGGGGAGCGAACGGG
rnacentral:rRNA from 1 species